rnacentral:rRNA from 1 species
AGGAGCCGAAGAAGGACGGGACUAACACCGAUAUGCUUUGGGGAGCUGUACGUAAGCGUUGAUCCAGAGAUUUCCGAAUGGGGGAACCCACUAUCUUUAGUCGGAUAGUAUCCUUACGUGAAUACAUAGCGUGAGGAAGGCAGACCCAGGGAACUGAAACAUCUAAGUACCUGGAGGAAGAGAAAGAAAAAUCGAUUUCCUGAGUAGCGGCGAGCGAAACGGAAAGAGCCCAAACCAAGAAGCUUGCUUCUUGGGGUUGUAGGACACUCUAUACGGAGUUACAAAAGAAAGUUAUAAAUGAAGCGGUCUGGAAAGGCCCGCCAAAGACGGUAACAGCCCGGUAGUUGAAAUGGCUUUCCCUCCAGAGUGGAUCCUGAGUACGGCGGAACACGUGAAAUUCCGUCGGAAUCCGGGAGGACCAUCUCCCAAGGCUAAAUACUCCCUAGUGACCGAUAGUGAACCAGUACCGUGAGGGAAAGGUGAAAAGCACCCCGGAAGGGGAGUGAAACAGUUCCUGAAACCGUGUGCCUACAAGUAGUUAGAGCCCGUUAAUGGGUGAUAGCGUGCCUUUUGUAGAAUGAACCGGCGAGUUACGAUUUGUUGCAAGGUUAAGCGGAAAAAGCGGAGCCGUAGCGAAAGCGAGUCUGAAUAGGGCGCAUAAGUAACAGGUCGUAGACCCGAAACCAGGUGAUCUACCCAUGUCCAGGAUGAAGGUAAGGUAAUACUUACUGGAGGUCCGAACCCACGCACGUUGAAAAGUGCGGGGAUGAGGUGUGGGUAGCGGAGAAAUUCCAAUCGAACUUGGAGAUAGCUGGUUCUCUCCGAAAUAGCUUUAGGGCUAGCCUCGAGGUAAAGAGUCAUGGAGGUAGAGCACUGUUUGGACUAGGGGCCCUUCUCGGGUUACCGAAUUCAGAUAAACUCCGAAUGCCAUGUACUUAUACUCGGGAG